GCGUGAGAGCUUCAAAGCUCUUUGACCCGACGCCACCCAGAAACCAGCAAUAGGAUCCGACCGGCUCUACUUCGUCCGGCCACCGAUCGACAACGGAUGACCACCAUCUUCUUCACCUCUUCGUCGCCUACAACCUCAUGCUCUUGGAUCGUCCAUGCACUGAACGGAGAAGAAAACCCGACGACGAGAAGCCCGAACCUUUACCGGUAACCUCUGCAAUUUUUGGCGCCUCUGGCCACUGUCUGUGGUAUAAAACCUCUUCUCCUGGUCAUGCUCUUCAAGUCUGUAUAAUUAGUUUUCAAUUUGGAUUGAGUUUUGAUGGGUUACAUUCUGGGUUCGUCUCGGGGCCGUCACAGUUCCUCGACGCCGGCAGCUUUCCGUGCUCUUCUCGGCUUCGUUUUGGCUUGGUUACAUCUGUAAGAGGAAGCUGACCACAAAUAGGAGUAUGAAGCUUCGAUGAUUAGUGGGUUGUGGACGUUGAGGCCUGGAUACCAGUUCAUCUUUGGCAGUGAAGCUAGGAAACUGGGUUUGGAUCAUUGGACUUUGUUCUAGCAACUGAGGUUGGCUUGAUCAAAGUCGAUUUUUGCAUUCGAAGAAUCUAGGAUUUUCAGUUACCCGAGGAACGGAAGGUUCGUGAAUCUCGGACAACGUAAAAGGUUAAAGCAUCGGAAUCCAGGUAGGGGACUCGGGACUCAUUCGGUUAGUUGUUUUCCGUUUUGAAUUAAAUGUUUAUGCAUAUUUGAAUUGCAUGGUUUGGUUAUUUAUGGCUUGAGAGUGAGUGGAACAUAGCGAUUCCUUGGGCUUCGAUACCCUAAACCUCUUGAGGGGACGUAUGGACGGAAUGAUGUCUGACAUCCUCUGAGGUGUGGCACUAUAUCUAGGUGAUAUGGCAUAAGUGGACACUCUCACUACGCCCUGGUGAUGAUUUUAUUUGAGUGUGGUUGCAGGUACUGUGCACUGGAAACUGGAUUAGAGCGGACGGAGCUCGGUGUGUAGAUUUCAAUAGAAGUCAGGUUCUGGGUUCCAAUCUUAUUCCUGUUCCUUAAAAUUAUAUUUUCGGAACUUGUCACAAUUUGUUUGUUAUAAGCUAAGUCUUUUAUCCCUCGGUUGUUUGCAACAUUAAGUCCUUGUAGAACAUUUGAAUUUAAAGAUUAGAAAGGUUUUCACCUCAAAAGAAUUUAAAAGCUUCCGUUGCGAAUUUUUGUCAAAAUUUAUUUCGAACAAAUGCCUAGCGAAUUUCUAGAAUGGAAAUCAAAAUUUUCGGUUUAUGUUUUAGAGACUCGCGACACUGUAACGUA